AUACGGAGGGGGCUAGCGUUGUUCGGAAUUACUGGGCGUAAAGCGUACGUAGGCGGAUUGUUAAGUUAGAGGUGAAAUCCCGGGGCUCAACCCCGGAACUGCCUUUAAAACUGGCAAUCUAGAGUUAUGGAGAGGUAAGUGGAAUUCCUAGUGUAGAGGUGAAAUUCGUAGAUAUUAGGAGGAACACCAGAGGCGAAGGCGGCUUACUGGACAUAUACUGACGCUGAGGUACGAAAGUGUGGGGAGCGAACGGGAUUAGAUACCCUGGUAGUCC
rnacentral:rRNA from 1 species